rnacentral:lncRNA from 1 species
AUUUUUGAGAAAUAAUGGAAAAUAUACAUUUUCAUUUUUUUAAAACACAGUACCUUCUAAAAUAGGAUUUUAAGCACAUGCACAUUUUUUGGGGGCUAAAAUAGCUCAAAUAUAAUCACGAUGAUGAUUAUACAUCUUCAUUUGCACAUUUCAUGAAUAUGUACCAGAUUACGUUCUAGUAAUAGUCAAUGUCCUUUUACUACCGUCCACCCAUUUAUAAACACAACUCAACAAAUUCAUCUUUUGUUUUUGUGUUUGUGUGUGUUGAAAUUUUCAUAUAAGUGAAAAAGAAUACUUUCACAAUGCUUCCUUUAGUACUGGAUUUAAACACACAAAUCGUCUGUUAUUUCUUACAUAUUGCUUUCCCAAUUAAUCUAUGAUCGUAUGUCGAUCCGUUUACGUUCUAAUAACUUUCAUUUUUUUUACUUGUGCAAGUUGCAUGUGGACUUGUUUACUCAUGUUGUUGACCCCCAGGUUUUCUAUUGAAUCUUCUUUUGCAAAUUAAUUCUCAACUUACUUUUAUUCUUGUUUAUGUGUUGUUUGGUUGAUGGUUCGUUUUCACUACCAAUCCGUCUAUAAGUAACGUGUAGUCCUGUUUGGAAUUCUUGUUUGGAGUAUGUACGUUUCUUUGAUGUUCAUAAGUGAUGCUUUGAAACUGUUUGUGAUUGCGUAUACUACUCUACCCAUGUAUGAACUAAUUUGGUUCGAAAAUCUAUACACUUUGUAUAUUAACAUUCGUAUCAAUAUCCUUUGAGUGCCA